GAAAAUCAAACCGUUACCAUUAGGAGCCCUCCACGCUUAACAUAUCCGUUCUUUCUCGUUUGAAAGUAACCAGGCUGCUCCUCCCCAUUUUUUGCCUUCUUCUCGCAGAGGCCGAGAGACUAACCUUACACAACAUGGCGGCCUGGUGUGUCUGGUGUCCUAGAGCGGACGAAAGCAGGUGAUUCUCUAGUCAACUUCCGACUUGGACUCCGAAGAUCGCUACAGAAAGAUCUAGAAGAGGUAAAGGUGUUGCUGGAAAAGGCUACUAGGAAAAGAGUACGUGAUGCCCUUACAGCUGAAAAAUCCAAGAUUGAGACAGAAAUCAAGAACAAGAUGCAACAGAAAUCACAGAAGAAAGCAGAACUUCUUGAUAAUGAAAAACCAGCUGCUGUGGUUGCUCCCAUUACAACGGGCUAUACGGUGAAAAUCAGUAAUUAUGGUAUGACUUGCUUCCCUAUAGCCAGUUCUGCCUCCGAGCAACCUAUUCCUUAUAGUGGUCUAACAAAUUCAUCCCCAGUGAGUUUUGAGUCUGUGUUUUUGGUGGCUUGGAGCAAGACCCAUCAGUUUUUAUUUA
rnacentral:sRNA from 1 species